GGCGCGCGCUGAUGGCGCGAAAAUCACGUGAGGGCGAGGGGGGGGGAGAAUGGAGGGUUCGACGCCCGUUUUUUAAGGAAAACGGUUUAAAAGGGUUUUUUUAACGUUAAAACAGGGCAGUAACUAUGGUCACUGAGGGAGCGGUCAGCGGUGCGCAGGUACAAAGUGCUUUCUGCAAGUCACUGAAGCUCAGAGGAAGAGUAACGAGUUGGCUCAAGAACUGGGACAUGACUGAAGGCUGAUAAGAAACAUUUAUUUCAAUCUGCUGAAUGAGCUGAAUAACCAAAACAAUUUUGGUUUUGUUUGGUGUCCAACAUUUACAUAACUUGAAAAUAAAGAACUGAAGAAAAAAGCCAUCAUGUCCUGAAA